rnacentral:rRNA from 1 species
UACGUAGGGGGCAAGCGUUGUCCGGAUUUAUUGGGCGUAAAGAGCGUGUAGGCGGCCAUUCAGGUCAGCUGUGAAAACUCGAGGCUCAACCUCGAGACGUCGGUUGAAACCGUUUGGCUAGAGUCCGGAAGAGGAGAGUGGAAUUCCCGGUGUAGCGGUGAAAUGCGCAGAUAUCGAGAGGAACACCAGUGGCGAAGGCGAGUCCCUGGACAGGUCCUGACGCUGAGGCACGAAAGCUAGGGGAGCAAACAGG